rnacentral:rRNA from 1 species
AACGAACGCUGGCGGCGCGCCUAAUACAUGCAAGUCGAGCGAGAAGGUGUAGCAAUACACUUGUAAAGCGGCGAACGGGUGAGGAAUACAUGGGUAAUCUACCAUCGAGUGGGGAAUAACCAACCGAAAGGUUGGCUAAUACCGCGUACGCCUCCGAAUCUUCGGGUUCGGAGGGAAAGCUGCACUGUGAGUGUAGCGCUCUUUGAUGAGCUCAUGUCCUAUCAGCUUGUUGGUAGGGUAACGGCCUACCAAGGCUUUGACGGGUAGCUGGUCUGAGAGGACGAUCAGCCACACUGGCACUGCGACACGGGCCAGACUCCUACGGGAGGCAGCAGUAAGGAAUAUUGCGCAAUGGGCGAAAGCCUGACGCAGCGACGCCGC